GGUUAAGUGAAUAAGGGCGCACGGUGGAUGCCUUGGCACUAGGAGCCGAUGAAGGACGGGACUAACACCGAUAUGCUUUGGGGAGCUGUAAGUAAGCUAUGAUCCAGAGAUUUCCGAAUGGGGGAACCCAAUAUCUUUUAUAGGAUAUUACUUUUCAGUGAAUACAUAGCUGAUUAGAGGUAGACGCAGAGAACUGAAACAUCUUAGUACCUGCAGGAAGAGAAAGAAAAUUCGAUUCCCUGAGUAGCGGCGAGCGAAACGGGAAGAGCCCAAACCAACAAGCUUGCUUGUUGGGGUUGUAGGACUCCGAUAUGGUAGUCUGUUAGUAUAGUUGAAGGAUUUGGAAAAUUCCGCUAAAGAGGGUGAAAGCCCCGUAGACGAAAUGCUGACAACACCUAGGAGGAUCCUGAGUACGGCGGAACACGAGAAAUUCCGUCGGAAUCCGCGGGGACCAUCCCGCAAGGCUAAAUACUCCCUAGUGACCGAUAGUGAACCAGUACCGUGAGGGAAAGGUGAAAAGCACCCCGGAAGGGGAGUGAAAUAGAUCCUGAAAUCGUGUGCCUACAACAAGUCAAAGCUCGUUAAUGAGUGAUGGCGUGCCUUUUGUAGAAUGAACCGGCGAGUUACGAUUGCAUGCGAGGUUAAGUCGAAGAGACGGAGCCGCAGCGAAAGCGAGUCUGAAUAGGGCGAAUGAGUAUGUAGUCGUAGACCCGAAACCAUGUGAUCUACCCAUGUCCAGGUUGAAGGUGCGGUAAAACGCACUGGAGGACCGAACCCACGUACGUUGAAAAGUGCGGGGAUGAGGUGUGGGUAGCGGAGAAAUUCCAAACGAACUUGGAGAUAGCUGGUUCUCUCCGAAAUAGCUUUAGGGCUAGCCUCGGAAUUGAGAAUGAUGGAGGUAGAGCACUGUUUGGACUAGGGGCCCAUCUCGGGUUACCGAAUUCAGAUAAACUCCGAAUGCCAUUCAUUUAUAUCCGGGAGUCAGACUGCGAGUGAUAAGAUCCGUAGUCGAAAGGGAAACAGCCCAGACCACCAGCUAAGGUCCCAAAAUAUAUGUUAAGUGGAAAAGGAUGUGGGGUUGCACAGACAACUAGGAUGUUGGCUUAGAAGCAGCCACCAUUUAAAGAGUGCGUAAUAGCUCACUAGUCGAGUGACCCUGCGCCGAAAAUGUACCGGGGCUAAACAUAUUACCGAAGCUGUGGACUACACCAUUAGGUGUAGUGGUAGGAGAGCGUUCUAAGGGCGUUGAAGGUCGAUCGUGAGGACGGCUGGAGCGCUUAGAAGUGAGAAUGCCGGUAUGAGUAGCGAAAGACAGGUGAGAAUCCUGUCCACCGUAUGACUAAGGUUUCCUGGGGAAGGCUCGUCCGCCCAGGGUUAGUCGGGACCUAAGCCGAGGCCGAUAGGCGUAGGCGAUGGACAACAGGUUGAUAUUCCUGUACCAGUUGUUUUUGUUUGAGCAAUGGAGGGACGCAGUAGGCUAAGGAAUGCAUGCGAUUGGAAGUGCAUGUCCAAGCAAUGAGUCUUGAGUAGAGUUAAAUGCUUUACUCUCUAAGGACAAGUUGUGACGGGGAGCGAAAUAAUAGUAGCGAAGUUCCUGAUGUCACACUGCCAAGAAAAGCUUCUAGUGAGAAAACAACUGCCCGUACCGUAAACCGACACAGGUAGUCGAGGAGAGUAUCCUAAGGUGAGCGAGCGAACUCUCGUUAAGGAACUCGGCAAAAUGACCCCGUAACUUCGGGAGAAGGGGUGCUGACUUCGGUCAGCCGCAGUGAAUAGGCCCAAGCGACUGUUUAUCAAAAACACAGGUCUCUGCAAAAUCGUAAGAUGAAGUAUAGGGGCUGACGCCUGCCCGGUGCUGGAAGGUUAAGAGGAUGGGUUAGCUUCGGCGAAGCUCAGAAUUGAAGCCCCAGUAAACGGCGGCCGUAACUAUAACGGUCCUAAGGUAGCGAAAUUCCUUGUCGGGUAAGUUCCGACCCGCACGAAAGGCGUAACGAUUUGGGCACUGUCUCAACGAGAGACUCGGUGAAAUUUUAGUACCUGUGAAGAUGCAGGUUACCCGCGACAGGACGGAAAGACCCCAUGGAGCUUUACUGUAGUUUGAUAUUGAGUGUUUGUACCACAUGUACAGGAUAGGUAGGAGCCGAUGAGACCGGAACGCUAGUUUCGGAGGAGGCGCUGGUGGGAUACUACCCUUGUGUUAUGAACCCUCUAACCCGCACCACUAAUCGUGGUGGGAGACAGUGUCAGAUGGGCAGUUUGACUGGGGCGGUCGCCUCCUAAAAGGUAACGGAGGCGCCCAAAGGUUCCCUCAGAAUGGUUGGAAAUCAUUCGAAGAGUGUAAAGGCAGAAGGGAGCUUGACUGCGAGACCUACAAGUCGAGCAGGGACGAAAGUCGGGCUUAGUGAUCCGGUGGUUCCGCAUGGAAGGGCCAUCGCUCAACGGAUAAAAGCUACCCUGGGGAUAACAGGCUUAUCUCCCCCAAGAGUCCACAUCGACGGGGAGGUUUGGCACCUCGAUGUCGGCUCGUCGCAUCCUGGGGCUGUAGUCGGUCCCAAGGGUUGGGCUGUUCGCCCAUUAAAGCGGCACGCGAGCUGGGUUCAGAACGUCGUGAGACAGUUCGGUCCCUAUCCGUCGCGGGCGUUGGAAAUUUGAGAGGAGCUGUCCUUAGUACGAGAGGACCGGGAUGGACUUACCGCUGGUGUACCAGUUGUUCUGCCAAGGGCAUUGCUGGGUAGCUAUGUAGGGAAGGGAUAAACGCUGAAAGCAUCUAAGUGUGAAGCCCACCUCAAGAUGAGAUUUCCCAUUUCUUUAAGAAAGUAAGACCCCUGAGAGAUGAUCAGGUAGAUAGGUUGGAAGUGGAAGGCUAGUGAUAGUUGGAGCGGACCAAUACUAAUCGGUCGAGGACUUAACCAA
rnacentral:rRNA from 1 species